rnacentral:lncRNA from 1 species
CGCCACGCCUGUCCCUGCAUUCCCGUGUGGUCCCUCAAAGCCGUGACAGCAGCGUUACCACAGGACGGUUAUCGUUAGCAAGGACCAAGGUGACAGCGACUCACGCUGCUGAGUUCUGCCGCGAGCCCGCCCUGGAGCAGAACGUUCCCCGCCACGUGUCACCGGCUCCCCGCCACCCCGUAAGGCGGGUCCUGUUAUUCCCACCAUCUUACAGACGAGGACCCUCAGGCUCAGAGAGGCCAAGCAACUGGCCGGAAGCCACACAGCGAGCCAGCACAGCGCUGAGUCACGGGGCACAGGGACCCCGCCUGAGCGGUCUUCACGCCCCGGAGCAGGAAGCCAGGAUGCGCGAGCUAGGGAAGGAGCGAAGGCUCAGGCAAUCGGCACCCAUCGCAGAGCCAGAGGGCCCGGCAGUCAGCCUCUGCCCGGAGCAUCCCAACGCAAGCCGGCCCGCCCAGCGACCGGCCCUGCUUUCUGGAAGGGACGGAGAAGAAGCAGGAGGGAAAAGCCGAGAGAAAAGUAUCAAGCAGAGACCAGCCGCCUUGCAAAGCUGCCCCAAAUCCUCGGGUUCCUGGACCCUGUGCGCACUCGGGGAAACAGCGGGCCACCCCGAGUGUCUCAUUUCAGUGGCCGCAGGCGGCGCGGCAGCGACCAAGCGAGGGCCGGAGGGAGCCACGGUGACGUACGGGCCGCUCCGGGAGCUGCGUGGACGUCUGGCCGCGCCCAGCGAGCGUGCUCUGCAGGCACGGGGGUGCCGCGAUCCCCCCUCACCCCGGGGCGGCGCGGGCCGUCAGCCGCAGAGCACAUCGGUGCCAGAAGGGGCCUCGGCCAGGGCUGGGAGGCCAGGAGGUCGGGGUGUGAGCCCCAGGUCGGGCUGGAGGGCCCGCUCCCCCCACGGGGCCUCGGUCUCCGUUGGGGGGGAGGACGGGGGCUGCGGGCAGCCUCACCCUCGGGGCGCGGCUGUGCACAGUCACCACGAGGUGUGCGAGGGCAAGAGAACCCACAUAACGCACCAGGUUCCCCGCGCUUCUCCGGGGAACCGGCUGUGGCGCCACAGGCAGGAGAACGGGAGGUCAAGGGCCGUGGAGCGCUAAUCUGAGGGUGGGAGGUGGGAGGCAGGAGGGAGG